AGCAUAUACAUCAGGACGUAGUUCUAAGAACUACACACCCCCACCCCCACCAAAUAGCAAAUACACCAUCAGGGACAACCUAUUUGCAAAGUUGUACUGCUUUCAGUACAUGCACAGUACAGUCGAAACUGGCAGCUCCUACACAAAACCCUUAGCAGAGGUUUGCUUGCAUUCCUCUUUUUCCAGCCAUCAGAUGAUUUCCUGGGUAUAAUUCUGCUCAAGGCCAACACAGUACUGGGAUUUGACAUUAAAAGUUCCACCCAAAAAAAAUAUUGAUUCAACUAUGGAAGAUUACAUAGACACUCCCUUCUUAAGUAACUGAUAAGCUGGUUUUCCAACAAUGCCAAGAAGUUAAAGGAGUCAGUACCAAGUUUAAUGCCUUUCCUGCUAGCUGCACUAGUAAUUUGUCCUGUCAAUGUAUUUCUGUACUAGUGGCAUAGAAGGAGCACUUCUGUACUACGAGAAGCAGCACCCCUAUAGCACUUCAUGCUAAUCAGAUGCUACUAUUUCUAUUUCCCACAAUUAUAACACAGAAUUUCACCUCAGCCAGGCAACCAUCUUCAACACGCCUGCACCAGAAAGACCCCAAAUACCGUCCCGAAACAGCCUUAAUGACUCUUCAGCCAGCAACAUUGCAAAGUAGCUGCAUAAGAAAUGUAACCAAGUAUCUAAGGAUACUCAAGAGAUGGAUAUGGGCAAGAACAGAGAAAAGUAACUGCAUCCCUGUGAAAUGCACUCUAACUUUCAAGUUCAUCAGUUGCAAGGGUAAAAGAAAAACCCACUUCUGGAAAAGAAAUUUUCUCCUAGGAUUUAUUCAUAGCUUUCCAGAUAGCAAUUUAUUUUGCUUAAAAGGGAAGUAAAAAUGUCAGCUGUAUCCAAAAUAUCCAAAAUAGGUUCCAUCUUCAGCUUACCACUUGAGGAAACACAGUGAAACGAGCCAGGAGCUUUGUGUCCCAAAAAGAGUUUAGAGUUCUAACAACAAUUGUGUUUUCACUUUUCAGAAAGCAUUAUCUUAGAAUGGGCUCUGUUGUGAAGUCCUGGAAACUAAACAAAAUCUUUAGAGCUUAAGACACUUAUUUUAAAACAACCACCAGACUUAGAAAAGUCUUUUCAUUAGUUGGCUGUGCCAAUGAACAAAGAGUGGUUUUAAAAAUUUGCAUAAACCAGUUUCUCAAGUCAUGUUGCUUGCUGAAAGUUGGAUUUUGUACACUUUCCAGAACUAGAAAUAUAUGCCACACAACAACAUGCAGACUACCACAACAUCUUCAAGACAAUAACUUCUUUCCCCACCCUCUGUACCCUUUUUGACAUGUGCUGGAAGCCACUCGGCAAACUGCAUGAAGUAUUUGAACGGCAUGUGUUUUUAAUGCAAAUUGCUAACAAUCACAACAUUAAAAAAAAGGUUUUAUAACACAUACUCCUCAAAAUCUGCAUGUUGGCUUUGAUAAGACAAGUAGACAAUCCACAAGGUAGAAAGAUCAAGCAAAUACUCCUUUAGGUAGAACCCAUACACUAUUUGGUUGAUUCAUACUACUUGAAAAGAGUUUAAUAUAACCUGACACUGUCUGAAGUUCCCUUAUCCUCUGGAUUUCUUGACCGACUAGAGCACCUACUCUGUAACUGUGACUGAGGCAGGACUGAAAACCAAAGACACGUGUUUCAACAUUCAUCACAAAGAUGAAAAUGCCGUAACCUUCCCACUGAUCUACAACCACCAUAGGAUACCAUCACCUGUAGAUCAUACUAACAUAUGGAUGUUGGUUCAUGGCUUUGUUUUAGGGUUCCUGGGGUUUUUCAGCACAGAUCAGGAGUAGUAUCGGUUUAAUAUAUGAAUAAUUUAUUCUUUAUUUCAGCAAUUUAACACUUCUAAAGAAGCAGCAGAACUAUACCAAAAUUAAAACUCUGAAAUAUUUCACAAACAUUUCUCUGUGGCUCUGUACAGAAAGCUUGCUAGCAUUCUGGAACUCAAAUCUACUGCAAAAAUAAUGAAUACAGACUACACACUCUUCUAAACAAAAAAGAAAAAAAAAUCACAUCCAAUCCACGUGCUUCACUGAAAUAUAGACAAAACCUUUUCUGCACAAAUACACUGAGUAUUUACUUUAGAAAAGAUCCUCUGUCCUCUCAGGGUAUCUAAUAAGGACUGACCAGUAUCUAUGUGCCACCUUCACUUUUGCAUUGUGAAAGCAGCAGCCAGAGUUUGAAGUUUUGUGAUUUGCAUGGCUACAAAAGUCCCAGGGAAAGAGAAUGGCUCCUUUAGUACAGAAUCCCACUAAUGACUUGGGGACCUCCAGCACUUCGUGGGUGUAAGCACCAAACCACAGGCAGGUGCAGAAGUCUCUGUUGGGUGGAGAUUGCCAUCAGGAAGGAAGGAACAAAGCCUAUGGCAAAGAAAGUUUAAAGUAUAUUUUAAGGAAAAAAAAAAGUUUAAAAAUGCUUUGGAUACCUUCAAAUCCUCUGUAUGUCUCUAUGAGGGGACAGAAGGGAAGUGGAAUGCAGAGGACAGAAGUGAUAUGCAGGAAGAAGCUGGGCAGAACAAGGAAGGCUCUGAGCUUGAAUCAGUGAACAGCUCAGAUACUGGCACCAGGCAGGUACAACCUUCAAGCCGUAUGCAAAGCAACAGAGGUAUCCUGACAAAAAGGCGCACUGGUUUUAUAGCUUUAGGCUUUAAAACGAUAAAGGUUCAAUAGGAUAGAAACGGGCAGAAUGGGAGACAGCGGGAAGGGUGACUACUGACAGUAAAGGCAGAAAACGCAGUGGAGAGGGCAGAAGACACACCGGUCUCCUCUAACAUGCUUUAAGUUCUCACAGAUUCUGACACAGAGAUUGCCUGGGACAUUCCUUACUGGUGCUAUUAGCAACUACAUAUACUCAAGCAUCUGGCCACUACUUUCACAACAAAGACACCAUGGGGAGCAGCACCGCAAAAUUAUACAUGACCCUGUAUCUUUAGCAUCUCAACUGCCAGCACUCCUACAUACAACAUCUAUAAAGAAAUAAAAUGAGAAGAUUCAGUUACAAGAAAAAGAGACCUGUGAAGGCCAGAGCAGCAUUGGUCUUCACUUAAAUCUAAAAGUCUGUUUCUAAGACAAGAUCAUCAAACAUGGUAGUACCUUUGCAAGAAAAUUUGUCUUGCUCAUUAGAUGUAGCAGAGCUAGCUUUAUCUAACCCAUUUGAGCUGCACACACAAUAUAGAUAGUGUAUCACCCAUGUUGUCUCAAUCUAACUGCAAUAAAAUUGACAUGCCAAAGGUGAGGCUCUCCCUGAAGUGAGCCUUUUUUGCCUGAUCCCACCCCAUGUUAUGAUGUGGGAACAACAACAAAGAUGUACAUCUCCAAGGAUCCAACACCCCUCCCUCAACAUUUUAUUGCACCAGUUGCAACAGAGGCAAGGCACAAGAAUGACUUCGCUGUGGAGAUUAUCAGUAGCAAUACACACCAUGGAUGUAAGCUGGAGAUAAGACCAACUCCCAGUGCCAUUAGUUCUGUAAUUCCACGCCCUGACAGCUGAAGACGUUGUGAAGUUCAGCCCUUGGCCUAUCUGGCAGAGGCAUUCCUACUAACGGGGCUCAAAGGUAAUAUAACAGCAGGUACUGGUUAUAGCUACUCCCAAAGGGCACACCGAGAGCUGAAUGGACAUAUACUUUGCAUUUGACUCAGAGACCGCAGUGAUACCAAAUAUGACAUCCUGGAAGGGCGAGAGAUGCCACCUGGCAACAUCAACUUGGCGGCUCACUCUGGCACUGAGCACUGCCUGUAUUAAAAUGCGCCUUCAUCGGAAGGGCCAACACCUUGCUCCUCAGCCUAGAAUUAAAACAGACAUUUAAAACUACCGGUGGCAUGCUUUAGUAACACUGUAUCUUCAUGAUAUUUGUAUUAUUAGACUGCUUACUAGCCACUGGUUCAGAAUUACUCUUACCAUCAAAUAAACAAGCAACUAAGAAGUUACCCCUGGUUGGUAAACCUCUUGCUAGUACUUUGCCGAAGCUUCCAGUGGCGAUAGAGGUUGGGGGUUCCCGUGAGGUAAAGCCCGGUUCCAGCGUUCGUUCUGAGGAUACCAGUGCACCAUCCUAAAUUCCCACUUUUUUAAAGGGUACCUGCGGGAACGAAGCCGGACUACAGAGGCCCUUUGGCUUAAAGGUUAACACGCACCUGAUGGGCCGUUACCAUUUACGCAAAACCACCAGAAGAGAUACCCAGCAGCGGCGACACCGCUCCGUCCACAACCCGCCCACACCGGCCGAGCCCCGCCAGCGCCGGCCACGGAGCCGGGCCCCGCAGCGCCGAGGUGCGCACCUGACUGCGCACCGACACCCCCCGGCCGGUGAGGCCGCGCCCGGGGCCAAACGGGCACCCGCCGCGCAGCCCGGCAGAACCCGGCGCUGGCGAGAGCGGCGCCCCCGGGGCUGCAAGCCCUGCCCGCCGCGCCUGAGGGGCCCUGCGCGUCGCCCCGCCGCCCGGGAGCGGCGCCCGCCUGUCACCCCCGCCCCCCGCAGAGCUGCCGGCCGCCGCCAGCGAGACGUGAGGAGAAUUGAAGCGAAAGCCGCCCCGCCGCCACCGGGUUGGGAAGAAUUAAGAUCAGAGGGAGCACAAGCCAGAGCAGACCGAGCAUGGGGAAGGUGUCGGACCCUUACAGUGGCCACUUCUUCCCCAUCUCGCCAAAACCAGCUCCUCUGCUGGAGCCGUGUUAUCUGCAUGAGGUCUGUGUGAGAGACGUGGAUCCUGCUGCCCGCGCAGCCACUUCCUGCAGCAGGCAGCUGCGCUUGUGUAGCUUCUGCUGGCCAGACAGAUUGCAACAGAGUUGACCUGGGCCAUACCUGUGGUCCUGAUCAGAAAUGUUGAUCAGCAAAAGCAAUAAUUUGCUGGGUGGGUGAGAACAUCUGCGGUGGUGCUUCUGCAGGCAGGAGGGCCUGUCCUGCUCAUUUGGCAUUACAGCAGGUGUUGCAGUUCUUUUUCCUUGCCAUUUCACAGCAGAAGUGUUGCUGUAUCGUGUCCUCUAAAAAUAGCUCAGGGCUUUUAAUCUUUUGUUAAGUUCACAGAAGUUCUGUGCUGUCUUUUUUGUUCUUGUUAAGUAAAGGAAAAUCUAAACUACUCUUGUGUGUUGUAGCUGUAAGACUCAACAGUGCUAUCCUGCUUUCUUUUCUAGCUGCUGCCUUGUCACGUAGGCAUCAGGUCCCACAAUGAUUAAUAUUUUAUUUGGCUUUGACUGAUGCAAAGUCUUUGACACUACUCUCCUCCCUGGCAACCAGGGUACAUCUGGGGUUUUCCAGGAUGAAAACAAAGGGAUGGUGUCAAAAGCCAACAUACACUCUCUGGAGAUAAUACAGUACAUUUCAAAAAUGACUGUGAGGUUAAUUCAUGGCAGUUGUGUAUUUUCUGGAUCACCUUUUCUAUAAACAGAACCGCAGCUGUAAAUUUGGGGAGGUCUGUUUUGUAUUAGAAAGCUAAUUUCAUUUCAAUAGUUCCUUUCUUCCUCAGCGUCCUUCAAUUUUAUUUUUUUAUUGGUGAUCAUUAAAGAAACUAAUCACAGAAUUUGGAGGAAAGGUUCAUUUUUGGGCUGAGAGAGGAGGUUGAGGGGUGGGAAGCAAAUAGAAGGACUUUGGUGGUGGAGAGGAGCCAGCAGUGGGUGUUUGCCGAGACUGGUUUUAUUCAACAUCUUCAUUCACGACCUGUAGAUGGGAGUGUGCACAAAGUCUCCAGGUCCGUGAAUAUUCCUGACCUCCUUAGGGCAGUCAAAUGCCACGCUGAUGGCAAAUAAGUCCUGCAGGCUCUGACAAAACCGAAUAAAAGAGACAAUGUUGUCAUAGGAGCUUCAAUGUGGAGAACCGUAAGGUAUCACAUGUAGAAGGAAAUAACCCAAACCAAAGGUCUUUGAUACUGAUCCUGGAACUGGUGUCACGGCUCAGGAAAGAGAUCCUGAAGUCAUUGUUGACCGUUGUCUGAGAUCAUCAGCUCGAUGCAUGUCUGCAGCCAAAAAAAGCCAACAAAAUGUUGGGCAACAUCAGGAAGCGCAUUGAGAGAAAGUCAGAAGGCAUAAUUUUGCUGCUAUGUGUAGCCUCAGCAUGCCAUGUAUUGAGUCCGGCUUCCAUGCCUGGUCUCUCACAGAGAAUAGGAACAUACCAUUCAUUAAGCGGUGCAGAAGAUGGAACUAAACUGAUGAUUUGUGGAGAGUCUGAACAAAUGAAACAUAUUUUCGCUGCCUCCACCCCUAGCAAAUGGCAGUGAGAGGUGUAUGCGUUGACAUCCUUGAUCAAGAAGUUGUGCAUCUUUCUGAAAUAGAGGCAUUAGAUCAAAGUCUUUAGUACCUUCUCCUGAUCUCAUGGCUUACAGGUAGAUAAAGAUUACUCCCUUUGUCUUUCUAAACAAAUAUUUUCCAAGUAUGGUAUCGUAUCUCUAUCAGGGGGUUGCUCGGGGUUUACAAAUGCAUGAUGGCAUUUUACCAGUCACAUCCUAAUACUUUAGGUUAACCCCCAUACUUGAUUUAAGAUGACUAAUAUGCCAAGAGGCUUAUUUAAAAUGCCUCUUUGUCUUUCCCUAGAGGCUACUUACAUUGCCUCCACCUGCAGUAAAAUUAAACACCUAUUUAUUGACUAAACCCACGGCCAACUGGCAUUAAAAAAAGUCUCUUCUAUUAAACGAUAUUCUACUGCCAAGAUAUAUCUGCAAAACAACAGAUUUUCAACCCUUAAGAAGUAAUUUAACCUUCACACAUUGGAGCCAAGAAUGAGAUUGAAAGAGCAGGAUCACACUGUUUGAAAAGAGCAACAAAUCUAAUAAUUACUGAAGUGAAAGUCUGUUCUGGCCGUUGUUUUGGUACCCAAGACUCCAGCAAGAGCCCUGGUGGUGAACAGACAGUGCAUCUUGACCACAUCUUAACCACGUAUGGUGAUAUUUGCCAGCUGUAGAAAAAUAUUGGAGAAAAGUUACAGUGUCAGUAACCUUAUCAUUCAUUUUUCUUUCUUUCUGUUGCCAGCUGACUUAACUGAAUGGCACAAACAUUCCAGCUACUGAGCAGAUCCUUGCAGAUCCUUGCAAAAAUCCUGAAUUUUGAAUGCUUCACACAUUAACGCUAUAAUUUCUGGCAUGCUCAGGAAGCUCCUCUUUUAUUCUACGGACUUCUCCCAGAGAGCAGAAGGCUUUUUUUUUUUUUUUUUUUUGUAUAAAUGUGCCAUGCAUUCAAAAACACCAAAAGAAAACGGCAGUCUGCAUAACAAAAAGGGUGCAGAGCAGAGUGGAUUAAGGGCAGUGCAAUGUCAAAUUGGAGAGGAGGGAUGGUUCAGUCUUCAGCUAGGAAAAAAACAACAAGAGAAAUGAUCUCUCUGUGCUUACAUGAGGUGUAUGCAACUGCUGUGUAUCAAGGACAACAGAAGUUACUUGAGAACCCAAAUAAAUACUUUCUUACCAGUCCGAACUGCACAUGAGAAAGUUGGACUGAGAUCUGCUUCACUACAGUUACAUAAGCCCACUGUGAUUUUACUGCCUUCAGGGAGUAUACUGGUAAAUACUCCUUCUAUAUAUUAUAACGGCACAUCUAAUUAAACAGUUUACAAAGGUGGGCAUGGAGGAACACCGGACUGCUAACAGGGGACCCACAGCAUGAGCGUGCCUUACUUUCUGACCAGUACUGUGGGAUUUCACGAACAGUUAGGAAGAAAAAACACAGUAACAGGUGACUGCUUGAGGCACAUAACCCCUUUGGCUCCAAGGAGUUUGGACUAAUAGGACUGCUUAGUCCCAGAGCUAAUGAACAGCCACUUUGUAGACCUUGUGCUUAGCUCUAUUAAGAGGUAUAAUGAAAAGCAACACAUCAGUUUCUGCAAUUUGGUUUAUUCCUUUUUGCUACCACCUGGAACAAUGUUACAUGGUGUUUUCUAGCUUCUCCCACCUGCCAUUUCAUUUCUUCUUUUUCACCUUCUUGUUUCUCUCCACACAUUUGAUUUAUUUAUUUUUAUGUUAUUUAGUUUUUAUUCAGUUCCUCUCUGCAUUAGCCUCAGGAUUAGGCAGCCUGGAAAUCAUCAUGCCAGAGAAAUGCUCUACGCUCUGCAGUCAGUGCAGCUGCACCACUGCUAUAGUAGAAAACAAGCAGCAGAUAGUUUCAAGUAGCAGCCUCUAGUACCCAUCCUAAAUUAAUGAUGGCUCUAGGAAAAUGAUUGUCUCCUGCCAGUGCAGAAAAGCCACUCAUCAGUGUGGGAAAACCAGGGCAGCACAAGCCUGGGUGCAGAAAGCAACUGGGGGAAUGGGUAUCCAACACUGCUGGGCUUAAUGUGUACCCGUGACAAUGGAAAAAGCGUUUGGUCUGACCAGGCUGAAAUACAGCACUGAUGAACUCAGCCUGCUGGCAGCAGUGUUGGGGCAUCCCCUCCCUGCCCACACGCUAUAGGGAGAUGGUGCUCUUCUGCCUAAUCCAGCCAGGGCUCGGCAUGGGUUUGGUCAGCCUUGAAGCUUCAGGAGUUGAAACAAACAACAAAUUUAGCAAGACUUCCUUCCAUGUUCGGAACGGCUAAAGAGAAGCCAGCUGACAAGGUUUCUUUGCAACACCAACAUUUAGUUUCAUGCCUACGUUCUUAUCCUUCCUAUUAUACAAUGUUCUUCCGUUAUUGGAACGACUGUGAUACAGCAGUGACUCACAUUUCUAUGUCUUUAUCUAGCUGUAUUACACUGAAAGGAAAAUGCCGCUCCAACUGCUGUGCAACUGUGCAAAUCUGUGCACCAGAACAAGGUCCAAACUGCAACAAUACGGUGACAAUUUUAGUAGGGCUUCUGGUCAGCUGUGCAGCUGGCUGUUGGGGAAAGAGCAAUACCACUCCUAGAUUUAAAGCGCAUAAGCCUCUGUGCACAAACAGCUUAGUCCCAAAUACAUUUAUGCAGCACUUCCAGAUGCCUCGGCUCAGGCAGACAGCAAUGCUGCUGAAAAAAACCCAGAUACAUAAGUAUAUGCAUAUUAAAAAAACCCCUUAAAAUCAGCGUUGCCCAGAUCACGGAGUAUCCAUUGCACAGUGUCUGUUUCCUCCUAGUGGAGCAGCAUGUGACUGCAGUGCUGAAAU